UACGUAGGGGGCAAGCGUUGUCCGGAAUCAUUGGGCGUAAAGAGCGUGUAGGCGGCCAGAAAAGUCCGCUGUGAAAACUCGAGGCUCAACUUCGAGCUGUCGGUGGAAACUUUCUGGCUAGAGUCCGGAAGAGGAGAAUGGAAUUCCUGGUGUAGCGGUGAAAUGCGCAGAUAUCAGGAAGAACACCCCGUGGCGAAGGCGGUUCUCUGGGGACGGUACUGACGCUGGAGACGCGAAAAGCCGUGGGGAGCGAACAGG
rnacentral:rRNA from 1 species